GCGGAUGUGGUGGAAUUGGUAGACACGCCAGCUUGAGGGGCUGGUGAGCGCAAGCUCGUGGGGGUUCAAGUCCCCCCAUCCGCA
rnacentral:tRNA from 1 species